rnacentral:rRNA from 1 species
GACGAACGCUGGCGGCGUGCUUAACACAUGCAAGUCGAACGGUGAAGGGGUCUGCUUUUGUGGGCCCUGGAUGAGUGGCGAACGGGUGAGUAACACGUGAGUAACCUGCCCCCUUCUUCUGGAUAACCGCAUGAAAGUGUGGCUAAUACGGGAUAUUCUGGGUCUGUCGCAUGAUGGGUCUGGGAAAGAUUGCGCCUUUGGGUGUUUUUGGUGGGGGAUGGGCUCGCGGCCUAUCAGCUUGUUGGUGGGGUGAUGGCCUACCAAGGCGGUGACGGGGAGCCGGCCUGAGAGCGUGGACGGUCACACUGGGACUGAGACACGGCCCAGACUCCUACGGGCGGCAGCAGUGGGGAAUAUUGAACAAUGGGCGCAAGCCUGAUGCAGCGACGCCGCGUGAGGGAUGGAGGCCUUCGGGUUGUAAACCUCUUUAGCCAGUGAAGCAGGCCUGCUCCUUGUGGGUGGGUUGACGGUAGCUGGAUAAGAAGCGCCGGCUAACUACGUG